ensembl:lncRNA
CCGGACUGAGACUGUGAACGUCAUGCUGAGGGGUUGUACAGUCUAAUGGGCUCCAGCUGUUGUGUGUGUGCACUUUGGGCUCCAGCUGUUGUAUGUGUGCUCUUCUUUGGGCUCUAGCUGUUGUGUGUGUGCUCUUCUUUGGGUUCCAGCUGUUGCACGUGUACUCUUCUUUGGGCUCCAGCUGUUGCACGUGUGCUCUUCUUUGGGCUCCAGCUGUUGCACAUAUACUCUUCUUUGGGCUCCAGAUGUUGCACAUGUACUCUUCUUUGGGCUCCAGCUGUUGCACGUGUGCUCUUCUUUGGGCCUGUUGCGUAUAAAAAAUGCAUGAAAUAAACACCAGGGAGACCAAGUAUGAUUAAUAUGUAAGUUUAUUGAGGUUUUACAGACCAAGUAUGAAUAGCAUGUAAUUUUAUCGAGAGUUCACAGGACUGGUGGGAUCAUAAUACUGGGGGGAAUGGUAGGGAGAAAACGGGUGAUAAAAUAGGGUGCGUCCUGGGGACGUGGGAUAGCCAGCCGAGGUAUACUUUGGAGAGUACUCGGGACUGGCAGGUGAGAAAAGGGGAGAAUGGUCAGAGCCCGGGUCAGAGAAGGUCACAUCAUCCUCAGUCUGAUAGCUAGAGGGAGGGUCAGGCAGAGGGUCUGUCUGCAUAGAGGCAUCAAUGCACACAUUCGCGGGGUGGUUUCUGGAUCUGAGAGGUGGGGGGAACCCCGCAUUUCCAGAGGGGGUGCGCAGGACGUCAAGUAGCAUAGUGAUGUCAGCAGUGAGAUGCGCGAGCUGAUAGCGAGUGUUCAGAUCCAAAUCCAGCCCCUCCAGUAAAGGAGAUAAGGAAAAGUGAUGGGCACCUAGGACACACAGAAGCGAAUAAACGGCAUUAGGCGGGUAUUGAUGAAUUGGAUUCACACUUUAAGAUUAACAUUAUGAUUUAUUAUUCACAGAGAAAUAUAGGAGCUGAGGAGUGCAGGCUGAGAAACACACACACAGAGGCCUAGGCCGCCACGCACACACAUACAGAAGGAAAGCAGAACAUUAUAAAGAUAAUAAAAGGAGUAUUAGGAUAUUAUAAGGAUGAUAUAAGGAUUAUAAGGAUAUUAUAAGGAUAUCUAACAACUCUUCCCAGAUCAAACACAGCCUGCAUGCGAUGUACUUGCUGCCAUUUCAAUCUUAACACCUAUAUGGCUUUUACUAAAGUCAAGAGGAACAAAGACAUGAUCAUG